GUGAAUCAUCGAAUUUUUGAACGCAAAUUGCGCUUCCUGGCAUCCCGGGGAGUAUGCCUGUUUGAGGGUCAGUAUUAACAACAAAUCGAUUUGGUUGCAAAUUGUGACGUUUUCGGGGUUUGGGCAAUUUUAACUUUUGUUGUUAAGGGGCUUAAAAUUGACCUUAUUUGCGGAUUCUUAGACGUACAUAAAUUUUUUUUUGAUUCGUCUAUGCUUAAUGCCAAAAUCUUAUUAGAUGCGAUCACAUC
rnacentral:misc_RNA from 1 species